CAGAGAAUAGUUUAAUUAAAAUAUUAGUUUUGGGGAUUAAUGAUAGGGAUAUUCCUUUUCUCUGA
rnacentral:tRNA from 1 species